GUGAGGAAUAUUGGUCAAUGGACGGAAGUCUGAACCAGCCAUGCCGCGUGCAGGAAUAAGGUCCUAUGGAUUGUAAACUGCUUUUAUUCGGGAAUAAACCUCUUUACGUGUAGGGAGCUGAAGGUACCGAAGGAAUAAGCACCGGCUAACUCCGUGCCAGCAGCCGCGGUAAUACGGAGGGUGCAAGCAUUAUCCGGAAUCAUUGGGUUUAAAGGGUCCGCAGGCGGGCUAUCAAGUCAGAGGUGAAAUCCCACAGCUUAACUGUGGAACUGCCUUUGAAACUGAUGGUCUUGAAUUAAGUGGGCGUUGGCGGAAUAUGACAUGUAGCGGUGAAAUGCAUAGAUAUGUCAUGGAACACCGAAAGCGAAGGCAGCUAACGAUACUUAUAUUGACGCUCAUGGACGAAAGCGUGGGUAGCGAACAGGAUUAGAAACCCUAGUAGUCC
rnacentral:rRNA from 1 species